rnacentral:lncRNA from 1 species
CAAGCUGUGAACAUAAUGCAACUUCAGCUUCCUUUGUCUUGCUCUGAUUGUAUCAAUUGUCAUGCAGUAGAAUGGAGUCAAAAUCAAAAACCUAUCUCUUUUGUGUUACACACAAUGAGCUGGACAGCUCUGUGCAGCUCAUGAGGACUUACUUGUCUAUUCCAUAUGUUAGUAACUUACGUACAAUAUAGUGACCUUACUUUUUUGUGUUUAUCUAAUUUAUUAAGCAUUGUAAUUCUUCUAUGACAUUUUAAUUUCUUUUGUUCCCAAAAUAUCUUAACUUAAUCUCUGCUAGUACAUCCUGCAACUCUUAGCUAAUUGCUAAUGUUGUGCUGAUUUAGUUCACAAUUCAUCAUAAAUGACUUUUUCUCAAUUUCUGGACACAGCUAUAUUAUUUGUGUGUAGUAUAUUUUUGCAAUGAAGUACUUGUAGUGAUUUUUAUCAAAUUAGAAUUGAUAGGAGAACCACAUUAGCUCAAUCAAAGGAGGAGCUAGUUCCACUGAUUGGUGUACCGGACUCAUUAAUGGACAUGCAUGUACCUGUUGAAUCAAAAUUUGUACUAAGACUGGCUAAGGCAUUACAAGUAGGAGAGUACAGAAUUAAACUAUUUUUAUUACAUGUUAACAAUACAGUGUUCUUUAUAAUCUAAUGAUGAAGUCUAUUGUUGUUAAGAAUACAUGCACCUGUAAAAAGAAUUUGAGAAACAAAUUAUUGAAGAAGCAAGAGUACAAAGAAUUGACUGUGUUCUUGAAUUAGACAAAAUGAGAUUACGCAAGAAGAAUCGGAGGUCACCUGGUAGAGUGUAUCUUGAUCAUCAGUUGAUUGAGAGAGAUAUUCAUGUAUAUGCUGAUAGUGAAAUGCAUGUGGAAUAUUGAAAGAUCAGUAUUUUUAAUAAUGAGGGUAUUAUUCUCAUACUCUAAUAGAACCUAAAAAGAUGAAGCUCCCAACACAGAUGUAGGUGUAUGUUAGAAGAUGGCGUCCAUCAGAAUUUUCAGUUGAUCCAACAGAAGAAAGUUAAGUGGAGUUCCUGUUGAUCCCAUUUCUGUUGCAACAGUUAGCAAUUGACAUUUCACUAUCAGCCAGUUAUUUUUCCUUUAAA